rnacentral:rRNA from 1 species
AUGGAGGAAGUAGAUGGGCUCAUGAAGGGGCUGAGGUUGUCGGUGGCGGAGAGGAGGGGCCUGAAGAUCGGUGUAAACGAAAAGAAAAAGGGCCACGAUUGGGUGUCGGAUGAACUGCAAGCGGUGGGAAGGCUGCUCUCAGAGAGGCCGGCGCAUGCUGGGGUAGUUGGGCACACGCUGGGAAGGAUUUGGCGCCCAAUCAAGGGGGUGGACUGUAAGGAGCUAGAAGAAAACACGUUUCUGUUCAUGUUUCGGCAAGCAUCGGGAUGGAGAAGAGCGCUUGAGGAUGGGCCGUGGUGGUUUGAUAAGGAGUUACUGGUCAUGGAGGAGUUCGACCCGGACAAGACUGUGGAGGAGUACGAGUUCAACAUCAUACCAAUGUGGAUCCGUGUCUUUGGGCUGCCAUUGGGAUCGAUGAACCGGGCUACGGGUGAGCUGAUUGGAAAGGAUUUCCAUGAUUUAGUGGAGGUGGAUGUGGGUCAUGAUGGCAAGGCGGCGGGUAAAUUUCUCCGAAUUAAAGUCAAACUGGACAUCAAGUUACCUCUGAUGAGAGGCUUUGUUCUGGAGAGAGAAGAGGAGAAAACCGAAGGUACGGUGGAGGGAAAGGACAGCGAGAAGAGGAGGAAGAAGAAGUUUCUCUGGUGUAGAUUUGAAUACGAGUACUUGCCCGAUUUUUGUUAUACAUGUGGUAUCAUUGGUCAUGGUGAAAAAGAGUGUGUGAAAAAACCGGUAAAGGGCGAAGCACCUCAGUUUUUGGUCCUUGGAUGCGGGCAGAGGAGGAAUACAAGAAGGGAGACGAAGGAGGAGGGGGGAAGUGGUAUGAUAGAAGAGGGAGCGGCGGGAGUAGGAACCCUAGUGGAGGUAGGGGUGGGGGUGGCGGUCAGAACCAGGGAGACUGGAAGAUAUACAAUUUUGGCAGAGGAAGCGGUGGGUCAGGCAGCGAUGCCCCCACGUGGAGGUAGGAUGGGACGAGCUCUAGAAGUAGUGGACAUACUGGUGGAGGGGGUGAGGAGGUUACGAGCCCACUGA